rnacentral:tmRNA from 1 species
GGGGUCGUAUUGGAUUUGACAGCGAUAGCGGAUGUGUAGUGUAAGCAUGUCGAGCGUUGAAGUGAGUCUCGUUAAUCAUUUGCUUCGAACUAUAAUUGACAACACGUCAUACAGACUUGCUGCCUAAUUUGUGAUACAAAUUCGGCUUAAUCCAGUGGAAUAAUAGUACACGGACAAGUUCCUUCUCCCACGUUUCCGUCUGUUAAACAGGGAUUAAGAAGGACCAAAUUUUACAGAAUAGUACCAGUGACGCUUCUAAGCCGGUAUGAGAUUAAGAAGAUAAGCGUGAUCUUUGGGUGUCUUUGUCCUAAAUCACGUCGAAAAUGAACCGAAGAAUAAACAUGUAGAAAGCUGUAUUUCUCGUCGUUUGGACGAGGGUUCGAAACCCUCCGACUCCAC